rnacentral:rRNA from 1 species
CCUACGGGAGGCAGCAGUGAGGAAUAUUGGCCAAUGGCCGGAAGGCUGAACCAGCCAAGCCGCGUGAGGGAGGAAGGCGCAGAGCGUCGCAGACCUCUUUUGCCGGGGGACAAAAGGCCGGACUCGUCCGGUCCUGAGGGUCCCCGGAGAAAAAGCAUCGGCGAACUCCGUGCCAGCAGCCGCGGUAAUACGGAGGAUGCGAGCGUUAUCCGGAUUCUUUGGGUUUAAGGGGUGCGCAGGGGGGCCUUUAAGCCGGCGGUGAAUUCCCGGGGCUCAGGCCCGCCGAGCCGUCGGAACUGGGUGCCUUGAGUGCGGCUGAGGCAUGCGGAAUGCGCGGUGUAGCGGUGAAAUGCAUAGAUAUCGCGCAGAACCCCGAUUGCGAAGGCAGCGUGCCGUGCCGCCACUGACGCUGAGGCACGAAAGCGCGGGGAUCGAACAGGAUUAGAUACCCGAGUAGUC